AUUGAACGCUGGCGGCAGGCCUAACACAUGCAAGUCGAGCGAGGGGCGGACGGGUGAGUAAUGUGUGGGAAACUGCCUGAUGGAGGGGGAUCAAUACUAGAAACGGUAGCAAAUACCGCAAAACAUAAAAUGUGCCCAUAUGGGAUGAGCGAGUAGGUGGGGUAGUGGCUCACUGAGGCGACUACCCCUAGCUGGUCUGAGAGGAUGACCGGCAACACUGGAACUGAGACACGGUCCAGACUCCUACGGGAGGCAGCAGUGGGGAAUAUUGCACAAUGGGCGCAAGCCGGAUGCAGCCAUGCCGCGUGUGUGAAGAGGGCCUGCGGGUUGUAAAGCACUUUCAGCGGGUAGGCGUUACUCGCAGAAGAAGCACCGGCUAACUCCGUGCCAGCAGCCGCGGUAAUUC
rnacentral:rRNA from 1 species